rnacentral:siRNA from 1 species
UAUUUAGUUUGUAAGACGGUGA